rnacentral:rRNA from 1 species
GACGAACGCUGGCGGCGUGCUUAACACAUGCAAGUCGAACGGAAAGGCCCUGCUUUUGUGGGGUGCUCGAGUGGCGAACGGGUGAGUAACACGUGAGUAACCUGCCCUUGACUUUGGGAUAACUUCAGGAAACUGGGGCUAAUACCGGAUAGGAGCUCCUGCUGCAUGGUGGGGGUUGGAAAGUUUCGGCGGUUGGGGAUGGACUCGCGGCUUAUCAGCUUGUUGGUGGGGUAGUGGCUUACCAAGGCUUUGACGGGUAGCCGGCCUGAGAGGGUGACCGGCCACCUUGGGACUGAGAUACGGCCCAGACGCCUACGGGAGGCAGCAGUGGGGAAUAUUGCACAAUGGGUGGAAGCCUGAUGCAGCAACGCCGCGUGCGGGAUGACGGCCUUCGGGUUGUAAACCGCUUUCGCCUGUGACGAAGCGUGAGUGACGGUAAUGGGUAAAGAAGCACCGGCUAACUACGUG